rnacentral:lncRNA from 1 species
UCAACUCUCUCUAAUCUAACUCACUCCACUCAAUUCUUCUCUCCCAUAAAAGCUUCAACGACUACAACUUUUUCAAGAUCAAAGCUUUUCAAGAACCCCAAAACAUGGUUUUUGUUCCUUUUUGUUUGUGGUUUUCUGUUUAUGAUAAAGUUGUGGUACAAUUUUGACCCUUUUAACCCAAAUCCAUGUGGGAUUGUCUCCCAAAAGAUGAGUUUAAGCUUGAUUCCAAAUGGGGUUUCAAGUUCUUUGAAAAAAGAUGAAGAAAAGAUGAAGAGUUGAAGGGGUUUUCGAAACAGCCUGAUGGGCUUGAAUUUAGGCCUUGUUUGGAUUUUAGUAGUGAGUACAAGAAACAAAGUGUGAUUUUGAAAGAUAGAACAAAGUAUUUGGUGGUGAUUGUUUCUGGUGGUAUGAAUCAACAAAGAAACCAGAUAGAACAAAGUUGUUCUGUUUUCUAAGAGAAUUAAAUCACCACCGUCGCCUCCGCCCAUGUUUACUGCUGCUAACAACCAUCACGACAGUGGUGAUGGUGGUGACGGUCCGAUCACUGUUACUCUUCAAAGUGGAUGAAAGGGAGCUAAAAUGGCAGAGAAGAUGAGAGAUCUGUGGUGGUGGUGUGACGGUGACUGUGGUGGUGGUGCGACGGUGGUUGUGUUGGGGGUUUGUGGUUGAGGUGGUGGUUGGUGACGGAGGUGGAGGUGGUUGUGGCUGUGGUGGUGACGGUGGUGGUGGAGGAUGUAGGUGAUCUAGAGAGAGGGAAAGAAAUAUGAGAGAGAUGAAGGCUGCAGACUUUAAACAGAGAGAAAGAGAUGGUGUGCCUAAUGAAGAACAUGUGGGUUUUUAUUUUUAUUUUUUAAUUAUAGGGGUAACUUGGUCAUUUAACAAAACUUAACAACAAAAUUCUAAUUGGGUUAGAAAUUUGGACUCAAAUGGUUAAAGAAAAUGCUUAUGGGGACUCAGGUCGUUAAACUUUUUCCUUUUAGACUCAACUAGUUAAAACCCAUAAAACACAGGGAGUCAAAAAGUAAUUUACCCUUUAUUCUUUCUAUUGUGCGACCUAUUAGGGCAACAAGGUGGGGGUUUUGGGCCUGAGCAAUUGGGCCAGAGCAGAGAGGAGUGUGUGCGGCCCUCCUAUCAUCCGAGUGUGCAGCCCAAAAAGAAGUAUGGAAUGUGUGACUCGGUGUUUGGUGUGCAUGUAUACAACAUCUAAUUAUUUAGAUACCUCCCUAUACCAUAUUUAUAACACAUUCAAAGUCACAUGUCAUGCAUUAACCAAUAAUCAACUCUAAUAGAUUUAAUAACAACACAAAAUACGUGUGGGAAAAACCGGAAGUGUCACAAUUGUCGUUUAGUGAAACUACGAGAAGGGUUUUGAUUCCCUGAGGAAACCAAACUCAAUGAUGUAUUGAAACAUUACCGGUUGUUUUGUGUCACACCCCGAAAUUAUCAGAGCUGGCGUGACUGGACUGGUAUCUUCAUUGCAUAGCGGAAGCGAAAAAGCUAAGACUUUUAGAAUGCGAACGCCCGCUAAGUACUCGACUCCACAUGGUCCUCCUAUUCCAACCGUACCAUAGUUUCUGAAGGGUAACCUGAGAAAGAAACAUGCGAAAAAGUCAACAUAAAGUUGAGCGAGUUCAUAGUUUGUUUGUAAAAGAUUUGAAAUAAAUCUUUUGAAUAAUCGAUUUGUGAAAUAAUAUUGAGAAAACGAAUUUAAAAAUCAUUUUCUUGC